CAAACCCUAAGGAUAUCUCAUGCCCCCUUGAGGUAACACAAGAGUUGGACUCCUAACAAUCUUUGAUCGAUCAAAAGUUGAUCUGUUAAAGAUUUGACACACGUCAAAAUAUUUGAUGCUCAGAAGGACUCCUCACAUGCUAAAAGUGUUAGCACCCAAGAUAUCUCAUGCCCCUUUGAGGUAACACACCACAUCUCUCCAUAGUUGGAGAAGGAUCACGCAAAAAGGGUU
rnacentral:lncRNA from 1 species